CCCUUAGAUGUUCGGAGCUGCACGCGCGCUACACUGAAGGAAGCAGCGUGUUAGAGCACCUGGCCCGCGAGGGCUGGGUAAUCCGGUGAAUGUCCUUCGUGAUUGGGAUAGGGACUUGUAAUUAUUUCCCUUGAACGAGGAAUACCUAGUAAGUGCGAGUCAUCAGCUCGCAUUGAUUACGUCCCUGCCCUUUGUACACACCGCCCGUCGCACCUACCGAUUGAAUGGUUCGGUGAAGAUCUCGGACUUCGAUAUUUAUUCUUUAUUGAGUUUAUAUUGUGGGAAGUUAUCUAAACCUCAUCAUUUAGAGGAAGGUGAAGUCGUAACA
rnacentral:rRNA from 1 species